CAAUAGCGUAUAUUAAAGUUGUUGCAGUUAAAAAGCUCGUAGUUGGAUUUCUGGUGAGAUGGAUUAUGUCUAGGUCGAAAGAUCUUGUUCAUGGUUCGUUUUGCCCUUCUUGUCAGGAACCCGCUGAGAUUCGCGUCUUGUCGGUGGAAUGGCAUCGUUUACUGUGAAAAAAUUAGAGUGUUCAAAGCAGGCAUCGCCGUUGAAUACAUUAGCAUGGAAUAAUAAGAUAAGACUUUGGUGGUCUAUUUUGUUGGUUUGCACGCCAAAGUAAUGAUUAAUAGGGAUAGUUGGGGGUAUUCGUAGUCUAUUGCUAGAGGUGAAAUUCUUAAAUUUAUGGAAGACGAACUACUGCGAAAGCAUUUACCAAGGAUGUUUUCAUUAA
rnacentral:rRNA from 1 species